AUACGAGGUACCUAGAGCAGUCAGAUUCAUAGAAGCAGAAAGCAAAAGCUGGUUGUCAGGGGCUGGGGGGAGAGGGGAUGAGGAGGUGGUAUUCAACGGGUAUAGAGUUUUAGUUUUGCAAGAUGAAAAAGUUCUGGAGAUGGGCUGCACAACGACACGAACCCACUUACUCUGAACUGUACACUUAACAAUAGUUAAGAUGGUAAAUUUUAUGUAAUGAAUAUUUUACAACAAUUAACAAUUAAAAAAAAAAAUCACCUGAUGUACAAUAUUUAUAGAGCAUCCUAUGCGUCCAGAUGAAGUGAGGCGAAAAGACCAAAAGUCGGGACUCAGAUGAGAGGCUGCUUCAGAACCCCAGCCGUGGCCCACUAAGUGUCUAAGCUGAGGAACGGCAUAAGAAAAGGAAUAAUGGAUGGACCCCUUAAGGGAGGAACUGUCAGAACUUUGACACACGAGGGCAGCCUCCAUGCCAGCUCCUAACAAAAAGCCUGGCAUGGAAGCGGUCCUCAACAAAUAUUGGUGAGAUGAAUAAAUACCGGUAAGGAGAGAAACAGAAAAGAUACCCCUAAGAUUUCUAACUUGGUAUCCAGAUGAACAGCUUUACUACAGACAGAAACUGCGCAGGUGGGAUGGGGAGAGUGUUUGAAGGUGAUGACGAGAUCGGUUUUAGACAAGUAGGACUUUACACGACACAGGCAUUUACAGUUGGAAACGCAGGGCUGCAAUGCAAAGGGAAGGUCAAAGUUGGAGACAGGAAUGUGGACAUCACAGUCACAGAAGACGAGUUCACGAAAGGUGGAUGAACUCAUCAAAUAAAUGAGUCAAAAAACCAAAGAGCUGAGGAUGGAGACGAGCGUCUGAGCGACCUGGUGAAGGAAAUACGUAAACUGAGAGGCGGCAGCAUCCAGGUGGAAGGGGAACUUUCAAUAGAAGUAUUCAGAGUUCCUCCUGUUCUUGGAUGAAGCCCGUGCCCCUCUUGGGAGUUAAGUGGGCCAGAUCUGAGUCUGUCUCUUCCCUGGUGCAGCUGCACUGAUUGGCUGAUUUACACACAGUCACUGAAAUAAGCGCAGUGGGAAUCUGAGGAAAGGAUGCUCUGUCAACCCUGCCGUGUGCUGGACAAAGGCGAGGGCUGCAGAGAGGCUGCUGAAUUUGAUGAGGACCUUUGAGAGGGCAGUUCUAACAAGAAGGCCACUGCGGAAGCCAGAGGAAGGGGGCUGCUGAGGAAACGGACGGAGGAAGUAGAGGAAGCAGGUGUGGGCCACGUGCUGGAGGCUUCUGACCCAGAAAGGAAGGAGGAAAUUUGGACAGUAACCAGAAGGAUUAGCUGGGUCAAGGGAAAAGACAUUUUACUCUAAUCUUAAGAAAAUAAGAGCUGUUCCUGUGGGAAGGUGGGAAGAAAGAUGCUUAGAGAGGAAGCCUGAGAAGGUGACAACUGUGGGAAUUGGAUCCUGGAUAAGGCGAAAGACAGGAAACAGGACAAAAUGUAAGAACAGUGAUGGCUUGAUCUCAUGUUCUAAGUUAUCUGAAGGAUCCUAAGCUUGAAAGAGACGGAGAGGGCUGUGGCUUUGGAACUAGACGGAGCUGGGUCAAACCCCAGUUAUCACACAGUAUUUGUGUCCCUUUAGACUCAAUUUCCUUACCUGUAAAAUGGGGAUGAUAUUACCUUAUGGAGUUGUUCUGGAUCAGAACUGAUUCAUAGGAAGUACUCAGUACUAACUUAGGGUAUUUAGUUGAUAAAUGGCCAUUAUUAGUCUUCUGCUGAAAUUUAGCGCUGGUAGGGAUAAUCUGGGGGCUUAAGAAGGUAAAGAUCUGGAAUCAGAACUACACAAAAGUUCUAUGGAACAGAAGAAAGGAUACUGGAAUUGCUGAGUAAGACCAGGAAGACCCACCUUCAGGGCUACAUGAUUCUGCCUCUCUCUCUAGUGGGGUGCUCUCUUCUGGGAGAAGUGGGGAAGUGCCGUAAUAGCUGGAUAUGCCUGUAAGAAUGCUGCAACCUUCAGAACCUGAGAAGACUUCUGGGUAACAACGAGAAUUCUCAGCCCAAUGCUGUUUUUACUUCCACAUCAGUGUUAUGCUUCUUGUCCUUUACCAAUGGUCCAUCAUGGGUACAAAUUAAAGCGUGACUAAGAA